CCUACGGGGGGUUGCAGUGGGGAAUAUUGGACAAUGGGGGGAACCCUGAUCCAGCCAUGCCGCGUGUGUGAAGAAGGCCCUCGGGUUGUAAAGCACUUUCAGUGAGGAAGAACGCCUGGUGGUUAAUACCCAUCAGGAAAGACAUCACUCACAGAAGAAGCACCGGCUAACUCCGUGCCAGCAGCCGCGGUAAUACGGAGGGUGCGAGCGUUAAUCGGAAUUACUGGGCGUAAAGCGCGCGUAGGUGGCUUGAUAAGCCGGUUGUGAAAGCCCCGGGCUCAACCUGGGAACGGCAUCCGGAACUGUCAAGCUAGAGUGCAGGAGAGGAAGGUAGAAGUCCCGGUGUAGCGGUGAAAUGCGUAGAGAUCGGGAGGAAUACCAGUGGCGAAGGCGGCCUUCUGGACUGACACUGACACUGAGGUGCGAAAGCGUGGGUAGCAAACAGGAUUAGAUACCCUAGUAGUC
rnacentral:rRNA from 1 species